GCCAGGUGUGGUGGUGCACGCCUGUAAUCCCAGCAGCUUGGGAGGCUGAGGCAGGAGGAUUGCAAGUUCAAAGCCAGCCUCAGCAACAGUGAAGUGCUAAGCAACUCAGUGAGACUCUGUCUCUA
rnacentral:sRNA from 1 species